UCAAUCCCUUGAUGAUUCAGAGAAGCAUUUUGAAGGUUUAAUUCUACUUGGAAUAUUUCCUGUUCGGUUCCUGAAAUGGAGCUUUUAUUGCCUUUAGGUUUCCUUUGCUGCCGCUUUGGGUCCUGGGCCAGACUCACUUCUGAGAAGGUUCCUCUUUGUUUAUUCAUCUCUGCAGCUGUGUGAUGUGAGGGACUGUGCUCUAUGAUAACUGCACUUAAGAAGCUAUAAAUGGUGUAUAUUUUGACAGGAUCCCUGGUAUAGGCAAUGUGCAUGUGUUGGGGCUGAGUAAUAAUGUUUACUUUGCUGUUAACCAAUGUAAAAUUCUGCUACUAAUUUCCUAAAGCUUUAAACAAAAAUCACACGAUAUAAUUGGCAAUUUUUUAGAUGUAUU
rnacentral:lncRNA from 1 species